AUGAGUAGCAGCAGCAGCAGGCGGGCAGGGUGGCGAGAGGAAGGGGGUAUGGGUGAGAGGAAUGUCGCUGACAGGUACAUUCAUCAUCCGGGCCGUGGCACACAGGCAAUAAGCUGAAGCAACAAAGACGGGCAACGCCGCCCUCACCCGAAACCAAAAUCCAAAUCGGCUCUACAUCCAUUUUGUGUUAAAAUAUGACUUAUUUAAGGUGAAUAUUGGCAGAAAAAUUGCCCAUCGUUGUUGCGUACAGCCUUUGCCCUUGCGCCAUGCCCUGCAAACACAAGAUAAGAAAUAUUAUACACAAACCCAGAAGUAAACUGUAUAUGCAUAGAGAUUUAUACUUAAACUGUAUAGAAAUUCUUCCCCUUCCCCCUCUUCCAAGUUUCUUUGCCGAAAGCAGAUGUGACGAAACCUUAACCACGUACGUCUUUCAUGCCGAGGUGUAAAUAUUACCGUAUGUUUUAAAUGUUUUAGCUAUCGAAUUUUCUAAGCUGUUUGUAUUUCGAGAGGGAAGCUUCGGGGAUGAAUGUCCACCAACCGGGGGGAAUGCAAUCGAAGAGACUUUUUACGGCGCGCGCGCUUGGAGAGUUUUUUUUUUGUAGGAGCUUGCGAAGGUUUCCGUCGACUGAGCAUGUAACCAUAGCGAUGACAGGACAGGCGCUUCCUGUUACCGUGGCGAACGUUCAAAAAAUGGCCGCCAUGGAGGUCUGACACUGGUUGCCAUGGAAGUGAGACUUUAAUUUUUUUUUUUUUUUUUGGCAUGUACAUAAUGUGACAUACAGAUACCAGAUACCAGACCUCUUGAAGCCAGGUUCAGACCGCCUUCCUUUUGAAUCCAUUCAAUUCAGGAAACAAAAAUCAGAAAAUACAGCACAGCCUGACUUAUAUAUAAUGAUAUUUAAUUGGGAAUGAGAACAUGUGACGAUCAUAUUUUUGUCUAGACGGGACAUAAAUCAGUGGCGUGUUUCAUGAGAAUGUGGAGAUUCAUUUAAAUUAUUUAUUCUCAUUUAUUUACAAUAAUUUACAAACAAUAAGCUUCCUGAAUUGACAGAUUUGAAAUGGAAUUUGAAUCUUCCUGGUUUUCCACAAGGAAUCUGAAGAAGUAAAGGGCGUAAAUGUCACUGCGAGGCACAUGACUUUACAUGGGAGCCAAACAGAGAAAAAACCUACAGUGUAGCAUAACGGUUGGCAACCCAAUUCCUAAUUACCUCCUGCCCCACUGUCCCCACCCCAUAUUUAUAUUUAUUUAUUUAUUUAACUUAUUGUAAAUACUCUUACAUGUACUCGCUCACCAAAAGAUAGGACACUUUUGUGACAAUGAACAACCCUCAUUGAUAUGAAUACUGUAAGUUGCCAUAUUUACAUUUUGCACAGUGUAUUUUGAAAUAGGUUUUAGCCUUGCUAGCUUCCCACACUGAGGCAUUGGCCAGGCCAGCCACACUACACAGCAGCCGAGAACAGAAGAGUGUGACAGACGUGUGGCUUUGGCACUGGGUGUCAGCAAAACUUCAAGUAUUCCUCACUUCCUGAAAAUCUAUGCUAACAUGAUGAUUUCUUUCUUUAUUUUUUCUUUUUUUUUUUUUUUUUAGUUUGACACCCAUUCAUGUUCUUGUGUUGUGCUGUGACUUUUCAACACAUUUUCAUUCCCAGGCUGUUAAAUACCACAGCUUGGCCACGCCCUUUUCGUUACCGACAUCAAAGGUAGCCUUCAGCAUCAGGAUGAGAUGCAUUAAGAUUCUUUGGUUUUGUCACGUGUCAGUGUCAUGAGGUUAGGGUUAAUUAAGUAACAAAACAACUUGGUUAAGGUUAGGGAGAGAAUAGGUUUAAACAUAAAAACUCCACUUGGUUCAGGUAAGGGAAAGGUCAGGUUUAGGUAACAAAACUAUGUGGUUAAGGUUAGGGAAAGGUCAGGUUUAGGUAACAAAACUAUGUGGUCAAGGUUAGGGAAAGGUCAGGUUUAGGCAACAAAACUAUGUGGUUAAGGUUAGGGAAAGGUCAGGUUUAGGCAACAAAAAUUCUUGGUUAAGGUUAGGGAAAUGUCAGGUUUAGGUAACAAAACUAUGUGGUUAAGGUUAGGGAAAUGUCAGGUUUAGGUAACAAAACUAUGUGGUUAAGGUUAGGGAAAUGUCAGGUUUAGGUAACAAAACUAUGUGGUUAAGGUUAGGGAAAGGUCAGGUUUAGGUAACAAAACUAUGUGGUUAAGGUUAGGGAAAGGUCAGGUUUAGGCAACAAAACUAUGUGGUUAAGGUUAGGGAAAGGUCACUUUUCAGCAACAAAACUUGGGGUUAGGGUUGAAACUUGGUCUCGGUCACAUAUUUAUGGUCUUGCUGGAAACGGCAGUCAUUAAAGGUCCUGUGGCCUCCAAGCCUGCCAUCCCCACCAACCACCUUCCUUUGUGGACUGUCUUGCUCUUUAUGCCACAUCUCCAUCCCCCGUGUCUCAUACUGACACCAGGGGGCACCUUUGGCUUCUAAUGGGUGUCCUUUGUGUCGUUAUCAGAUGCCAAAGGGUGCCCUUAAUGUCUUCACAAGACGCAGAGGGGCGUGACCAAGCUGUGGUGUUUCACAACCUGAGAAUGAGAAUGGGCUGGAAAUUUAGUCCUUUACUCCUUAGAGAUUCUUUUUUUGUUUGUUUGUUUGUUUUAAAUCUUCAGUAGCAUUUUAACAAUCAUGCCCGGCUUAGGGCGUUGUUAGUAGCCAUUUUUAAACCUGUGAAAAAAAGAAACUCAAUGUUAUGCUUACAGUACAGCCCAUGACACUGUUGAAGAAAAACCAAUGUAGCAAAUGAACUGCGAUGUCUCUGCAUUGUUGGUUAGCAUCUUUUAUGAAUAUUUGCAAUGUGGACAAUGAAAACAGGAACUUAUUUAGCAGCUGAGUAUGAGAGCUUUUGCUGAUGUUUUGAGAUGUUUUCGACUUCCUUUAAUUGCCAAUUAGCUUCAGCGUCCAUGCUGCGUAGUGCACAUACACAACCAUGCAGACAAACCUACACACACCGACGUCCACUGCUGCGUACAGCGAUAUACUUGUGUAGCCUACUACUGAGUUUGUUUUCCGAUCAAAAUAAACAGGAAUCGGAGCCCAAAGUCUUUUUCAAUCACAGCACAACAGAGCAGCAGAGCGCUUGGAUGCAGCAAAACAGUGAUUUUGAAAUGUUUACUUUCUUUUCUCAAUGCUGACAUUUCCUCUAACUGUGAUUGGGGUGUAAAUAUCCAUGCUGUACCAGCCGUAUGCAGUGUACCCAAGACAUGUUUACAUUAUAAAGGUAGAAAAUCUCUGAAAGUUUACAUGGUCAUUUAUGUCCUGAAUGAGUCUGACGACCCCUGGGCUCUUGAAACUUGUUAAAAAAAAAGAAAAAAAAGAAAAGAAAGCAAAUAUAGUUACACAAAUACAUGGGCAUCAAAUAGAGAAUUUUCCUCAUUCCUGAAAACAAAAACACCUUUUUGCAGGAGUGUGUGUACGAUUUAAACCCAAUAAAGCUUGUCUGGUUCCAGACCCACUAA